CAGCCGCCGCGGGAACACGAAGGGUGCAAGCGUUACUCGGAAUUACUGGGCGUAAAGCGUGCGUAGGUGGUGGUUUAAGUCCGUUGUGAAAGCCCUGGGCUCAACCUGGGAAUUGCAGUGGAUACUGGAUCACUAGAGUGUGGUAGAGGAUAGUGGAAUUUCCGGUGUAGCAGUGAAAUGCGUAGAGAUCGGAAGGAACAUCUGUGGCGAAGGCGACUAUCUGGGCCAACACUGACACUGAGGCACGAAAGCGUGGGGAGCAAACAGGAUUAGAUACCCCUGUAGUCCCUGUCUCUUAUAC
rnacentral:rRNA from 1 species